CGUAGCGCAGAGUCGCGCACUUAGCAUUCGCUUGUGUUACACCGGUGGAGCAUGGAGCAGUGCGGACAGAGGAUCACCGCGAUAUUAUACAACAGAUACACAUAAACUUGCAACAUCGAGGUAGACAGCAGGGCGGAUGGACAGACGGUCUCAGACAGUCCGGCAGACAGAGAGAAGCAGGUUGAAAUUCAACCGUGGACAAGCAAGGUGUCCGCAGCUGGGGUUGAAAAGCUGUCGAAACUGGAAUGGAGCGUCGAAAAGGAUAGAAAAAAAAAAAAAUUCGACAAAGGUGACCGUCCCAAAGACGUGUUAGGUACAAGUUUUGUCAAAAUUAUUCAGGUAGAGUAGUGCGAUGUAGAAGCGUUAUAUACAGGGUGUUCAUUUUGAGGUUUACUUUUCAAGACG